rnacentral:rRNA from 1 species
UUGAUCCCUGGCUCCAGGACGAACGGCUGGCGGCAUGCCUAAAUACAUGCAAAGGUCGAGCGGACUUGAUAGGGAAGCUUGCUUCUUUGAUACUUAGCGGCGGGACGGGUGAGUAACACGUAGGCAACCUGCCCUCAAGUUUGGGACAACUACCGGAAACGGUAGCUAAUACCGAAUAAUUGUUUUCUUCGCCUGAAGGAAACUGGAAAGACGGAGCAAUCUGUCACUUGGGGAUGGGCCUGCGGCGCAUUAGCUAGUUGGUGAGGUAACGGCUCACCAAGGCGACGAUGCGUAGCCGACCUGAGAGGGUGAUCGGCCACACUGGGACUGAGACACGGCCCAGACUCCUACGGGAGGCAGCAGUAGGGAAUCUUCCGCAAUGGGCGAAAGCCUGACGGAGCAAUGCCGCGUGAGUGAUGAAGGUUUUCGGAUCGUAAAGCUCUGUUGCCAGGGAAGAACGCUUGGGAGAGUAACUGCUCUCAAGGUGACGGUACCUGAGAAGAAAGCCCCGGCUAACUACGUGCCAGCAGCCGCGGUAAUACGUAGGGGGCAAGCGUUGUCCGGAAUUAUUGGGCGUAAAGCGCGCGCAGGCGGUCAUUUAAGUCUGGUGUUUAAAUCCCGGGGCUCAACCCCGGAUCGCACUGGAAACUGGGUGACUUGAGAGCAGAAGAGGAGAGUGGAAUUCC